rnacentral:rRNA from 1 species
UACGUAGGGGGCAAGCGUUGUCCGGAUUUAUUGGGCGUAAAGAGCGUGUAGGCGGUUUGGUAGGUCCGUUGUGAAAACUCGAGGCUCAACCUCGAGACGCCGAUGGAAACCAUCAGACUAGAGUCCGGAAGAGGAGAGUGGAAUUCCUGAUGUAGCGGUGAAAUGCGCAGAUAUCAGGAAGAACACCCGUGGCUAAGGCGGCUCUCUAGUACGGUACUGACGCUGAGACGCGAAAGCGUGGGGAGCGAACAGG